rnacentral:rRNA from 1 species
UACGUAGGGCGCAAGCGUUGUCCGGAAUUAUUGGGCGUAAAGAGCUCGUAGGCGGUUUGUCGCGUCUGCUGUGAAAACCUAAGGCUCAACCUUGGGCUUGCAGUGGGUACGGGCAGACUAGAGUGCGGUAGGGGUGACUGGAAUUCCUGGUGUAGCGGUGGAAUGCGCAGAUAUCGAGAGGAACACCUGCGGCGAAGGCGGGUUGCUGGGCUGAUACUGACGCUGAGGCGCGAAAGCCAGGGGAGCGAACGGG